rnacentral:rRNA from 1 species
GUGCCAGCAGCCGCGGUAAUACAGAGGGUGCGAGCGUUGUCCGGAAUCACUGGGCGUAAAGGGCGCGUAGGCGGGCGAUCAAGCGUGCGGUGAAAGCUCGGGGCUCAACUCCGAGUCGGCCGUGCGAACUGGUUGUCUAGAGUCUGGUAGAGGUCGAUGGAAUUCCGGGUGUAGCGGUGGAAUGCGUAGAGAUCCGGAAGAACACCGGUGGCGAAGGCGGUCGACUGGGCCAGUACUGACGCUGAUGCGCGACAGCGUGGGGAGCAAACAGGAUUAGAAACCCCCGUAGUCC